rnacentral:rRNA from 1 species
CUUAAAUUGAAGAGUUUGAUCAUGGCUCAGAUUGAACGCUGGCGGCAGGCCUAACACAUGCAAGUCGAGCGGAAACGAGUUAUCUGAACCUUCGGGGAACGAUAACGGUGUCUAGCGGAAGAAGGGUGAGUAAUGCCUAG